GGAUGAACGCUGGCGGCGUGCCUAACACAUGCAAGUCGAACGAAGAACUUUUAGAUAAUCCUUCGAAGAUAUCUAAAAGUUUCUAGUGGCAGACGGCUGAGUAAUACAUUGGUACCUACCCUAAAGUGGGGAAUAGCUCAUCGAAAGAUGGGGUAAUUCCGCAUGUGACCGUAAGGUUAAAGCUUUUGCGCUUUAGGAAGGGCCUUUGUCCUAUCAGUUUGUUGGUGAGGUAAUGGCUCACCAAGACUAUGACGGGUAGCUGGAUCGAGAGGUUGACCAGCCAGACUGGGACUGAGACACGGCCCAGACUCCUACGGGAGGCAGCAGUGAGGAAUUUUCCGCAAUGGGCGAAAGCCUGACGGAGCGACGCCGCGUGAAGGAUGAAGCUUUUCGGAGCGUAAACUUCUUUUAUGUGGGAAGAUUAUGACGGUACCACAUGAAUAAGGACC
rnacentral:rRNA from 1 species